AUUGAACGCUGGCGGCAUGCCUUACACAUGCAAGUCGAACGGUAACAGGUUAAGCUGACGAGUGGCGAACGGGUGAGUAAUAUAUCGGAACGUGCCCAGUCGUGGGGGAUAACGUAGCGAAAGCUACGCUAACACCGCAUACGAUCUACGGAUGAAAGCGGGGGAUCGCAAGACCUCGCGCGAUUGGAGCGGCCGAUAUCAGAUUAGGUUGUUGGUGAGGUAAAAGCUCACCAAGCCUGCGAUCUGUAGCUGGUCUGAGAGGACGACCAGCCACACUGGAACGGAGACACGGUCCAGACUCCUACGGGAGGCAGCAGUGGGGAAUUUUGGACAAUGGACGCAAGUCUGAUCCAGCAAUGCCGCGUGCAGGACGAAGGCCUUCGGGUUGUAAACUGCUUUUGUACGGAACGAAACGGUGAGCUCUAAUACAGUUUGCUAAUGACGGUACCGUAAGAAUAAGCACCGACUAACUACGUGCCAGCCGCCGCAGUAA
rnacentral:rRNA from 1 species